rnacentral:rRNA from 1 species
GUAGGGAAUAUUGGGCAAUGGUCGGAAGACUGACCCAGCCAUGCCGCGUGCAGGAAGACGGCCCUCUGGGUUGUAAACUGCUUUUAUCUGGGAAGAAAAAGGCCAUGCGUGGCAAAUUGCCGGUACCAGAUGAAUAAGCACCGGCUAACUCCGUGCCAGCAGCCGCGGUAAUACGGAGGGUGCGAGCGUUGUCCGGAUUUAUUGGGUUUAAAUGGUGCGUAGGCGGCUGAUUAAGUCAGCGGUGAAAGACUUCGGCUUAACCGGAGCAGUGCCGUUGAUACUGGUUGGCUUGAGUGUCGGAGGGGUACAUGGAAUUGAUGGUGUAGCGGUGAAAUGCAUAGAUACCAUCAGGAACACCGAUAGCGAAGGCAUUGUACUGGCCGACAACUGACGCUGAUGCACGAAAGUGUGGGGAUCGAACAGGAUUAGAAACCCCAGUAGUCC